rnacentral:lncRNA from 1 species
GCAUGCAGAUCUGGACUCUAUCCUCAGGCUCCAUCGGAUCAGUUGCUGGCUUGACUGGAGGCUUUGUACCCCUCACAUUUGCUAUUGGUAUCACUGAAACUCCAGAUGGUUGUGGAUCUAUUGCUACUUUAGGCAAUGGAACAGUAAUCUCAGCAGGAUUCAAUGGAACAGUUGUACCUACCAUUGGUACAGUAGUAACAGCUUUUGGUACUACAUCACUCGCAUAAAUUGGUACUAUUUCUUUCCUUGGGCGACC